rnacentral:rRNA from 1 species
AGAGUUUGAUCCUGGCUCAGAAUGAACGCUGGCGGCAGGCCUAACACAUGCAAGUCGAACGGGUGUCUUCGGGCACUAGUGGCGGACGGGUGAGUAACGCGUGGGAACAUACCCAAAGGUACGGAAUAGCCUCGGGAAACUGAGAGUAAUACCGUAUGUGCCCUUCGGGGGAAAGAUUUAUCGCCUUUGGAUUGGCCCGCGUUGGAUUAGGUAGUUGGUGGGGUAAUGGCCUACCAAGCCGACGAUCCAUAGCUGGUUUGAGAGGAUGAUCAGCCACACUGGGACUGAGACACGGCCCAGACUCCUACGGGAGGCAGCAGUGGGGAAUCUUAGACAAUGGGGGAAACCCUGAUCUAGCCAUGCCGCGUGAUCGAUGAAGGCCUUAGGGUUGUAAAGAUCUUUCAGAUGGGAAGAUAAUGACGGUACCAUCAGAAGAG